GACGAACGCUGGCGGCGUGCUUAAUACAUGCAAGUCGAACGGAAAGGCCCUGAUCUUGUGGGGUGCUCGAGUGGCGAACGGGUGAGUAAAACGUGAGUAAACUGCCCCUGACUUUGUGAUAACACCAGGAAACUCGGGCUCAUACCGGAUAGGAGCUCCUGCUGCAUGGUGGGGGUUGGAAAGAUUCGGCGGUUGGGGAUCGACUCGAGGGUUAUCAGCUUGUUUGUGGGGUUGUGGAUUACCAAGGCUAUGAAGGGUAGCCGGCCUGAGAGGGUGACCGGCGACAUGGGGACUGAGAUACGGCCCAGACUGCUACGGGAGGCAGCAGGGGGGAAUAUUGCACAAUGGGCGGAAGCCUGAUGCAGCAACGCCGCGUGCGGGAUGACGGCCUUCUGGUUGUAAACCGCUUUCGCCUGUGACGAAGCGUGAGUGACGGUAAUGGGUAAAGAAGCACCGGCUAACUACGUG
rnacentral:rRNA from 1 species